UACAGAGGUCUCAAGCGUUGUUCGGAUUCAUUGGGCGUAAAGGGUGCGUAGGUGGCGCGCUAAGUCAGGUGUGAAAUCUCGGAGCUUAACUCCGAAACUGCAUUCGAUACUGCCGUGCUUGAGGACUGGAGAGGAGACUGGAAUUCCUGGUGUAGCAGUGAAAUGCGUAGAUAUCAGGAGGAAUACCGAUGGCGAAGGCAGGUCUCUGGGCUGACACUGACGCUCAUGCACGAAAGCGUGGGGAGCAAACAGG
rnacentral:rRNA from 1 species